UACGUAGGGCGCAAGCGUUGUCCGGAAUUAUUGGGCGUAAAGAGCUCGUAGGCGGCUUGUCACGUCGGGUGUGAAAGCCCGGGGCUUAACCCCGGGUCUGCAUUCGAUACGGGCAGGCUAGAGUGUGGUAGGGGAGAUCGGAAUUCCUGGUGUAGCGGUGAAAUGCGCAGAUAUCAGGAGGAACACCGGUGGCGAAGGCGGAUCUCUGGGCCAUUACUGACGCUGAGGAGCGAAAGGCGUGGGGAGCGAACAGG
rnacentral:rRNA from 1 species